CCUGGCUGUAGGAGACCCGGGCCCGGGCAUGGGCAGAGUUGGCGUAGUAAGGGUUGCCCUGGGAAUCCAGGUGGUUGAAGAAGACGUCGACUUCGUCCGGAGGACGAGGGAGACGGCACCGCAUCCCUGGAUCGCCCCGGCACGGAACGACUCCGGAACGGGGGAGCGUCGCCCCGGAGUAAAAACAGCACGAAAAGCGGCUUUGGGAGCGUGCAGAACUACCCCGGGCGGGGGCACACGGGGGGGUCCGAAGCGACGGCCGGGGGGGUGCUGAGAGCUGCCGAGGAGCCGCUGCGCUCCCGGGGCGAUCCGCGGUGCUCUGCCGGGAUAUCCCGAGCUGUGUGCGGGGUCAGAGCCGCCCCCGAGUGUCACGAGAAGCACUGGGGACACUGGGGGGAAAGCGGUGUCCCCCCCGAUGCCCGCUGGAAGAGAAGGAAGCUUUCUUCUGCUGUUUGCCUUCUGUAACUAAAGAUGUCAUCUGAAAGUCUGGGAGGAAGGGGAGACCGUGCUCAGCUCUCUUCCACGAUUAUCGGAACCCUUUCAAAACUCACACAACAAAUACAGCCACCGCAUCUAAUGCAUCAUUUACCAGAGCAGAUCUCCGCGUUUGAUCGGCAGAUAGGCAAAAUCUAUGUAUUCCUUGCUGUACUUAGUAUGCAUGGACGGCGGGCUGCUGUGCACGCGGGGUGCCCCGCCGGGCCGGGACACCCCCGGGGCUCUCAGGAGUGUCUCCUGCCCUUCCCCGACGCGGGGAGCGGGGUGGGAGAGCGAGGAACGGCGCAAGGUGGAUUUGGCCCCGCUGGGACCUACGGGGGAGGGUAGGGGGAAACGAGGUGCCCGCCGCUGCUCAGCGCUGUGGGGCAGCAGAGCAGGACCCCAAAGCCGGGGGGUUUCGGCACCUCCGGCUCGAAGCUGAACGAGACCUUUAUCCCAAGGGAGGAACGGGACACCCGCAAAACCCCACAGAAAGGGAAUUCAUCCCGCCUGGAGUUUGCCUGAAGUCUGUCCGCUCAGAGGAGCACCAGGCUCUUGCCUUCCUUCCUUUCUUUUUUCUUCCUUUUCAUUUUUUUUUCAUCUUCUUUUAAACUUUUAAUUUUUUUUUUCCUUCUCUAUUUUAUUUUAUUUUUUUAAUUUGAUUUUUAUUUUGGCCACUACCAGCAUCAUAACAACCACCUCUCAACCUUGGCUCCAGAGCAGGUGAUUCCACAACGCUGAGCAGCCCUCAUCACCCCCUUCUUUCCCCUGCUCAGAUACCGAACAAGACGGCGUUGAACUGCGCUCCUUAUGUCCCCAGCACUGCCCCAUUAAGCACACGGUGCCCGCAGUGCCCCCAGUCCCCUUUGCCCAUCCCCUGCAGUAGGAGCCGUCCCCUUGUCCAGGUAAAGGAGAGAAACUUCAGCGGGACGUUGUGUGUGAGCAGCAGCCCUGUCAGCCCCUGCCCGUGCCCAGGAGUUUUGCAAAUGUUCAACUUGUACUAAUUUUUUCUUUCCAGUUGUGUUCACAGUUGUUCCCCAUAAAAAAUGGACCUGUGUUAGUUUAUUAAUAACCUAAACAUUACGUAUUAAAGACCUAUGAGUGACACGAGAUGACAAAAAGCUGUAUUUUUCCAAUAUACACAAGCACACAUUUAAUAACCUUCUAUUGCAUCUCAGCUAGGCCUUCUCUCUGAUGGUUCCCAUGGCAACUGAGAUAAAAAAGCAGCCAUUUUCCAUAUCUCUAUGAAAGUCUAUUAUAUUGCAGGAUUAGUUCAUCUUCUGCUAAGGUCAAACACAAAGUCAUACAACCUGAAAUAUUUAGAAUCCAUGUACAUUCAUUUUUUUAUAUGCCCUUUCAUUUCCCACAAAAGACGGGGCUCCUCUGAGGUUUUAUUCCCCGAGAAAAUGCUAAGCAAAGCAAUAAAAAAAAAUCACGAUUAGCGGCUGAUGAAAAGUUCAAUUGUUUCUUUUUUU